AUUGAACGCUGGCGGCAGGCCUAACACAUGCAAGUCGAACGGUAACAGGAAGCAGCUUGCUGCUUUGCUGACGAGUGGCGGACGGGUGAGUAAUGUCUGGGAAACUGCCUGAUGGAGGGGGAUAACUACUGGAAACGGUAGCUAAUACCGCAUAACGUCGCAAGACCAAAGAGGGGGACCUUAGGGCCUCUUGCCAUCGGAUGUGCCCAGAUGGGAUUAGCUAGUAGGUGGGGUAACGGCUCACCUAGGCGACGAUCCCUAGCUGGUCUGAGAGGAUGACGCGCCAAACUGGAAAUGGAGAAAGGGGCCAGAUCCUAAGGGGGGCAAGCAGUGGGAAUUUUGCAGCAAGGGGCGAAGGCGUAAGGAGGCAAGGCGGGGGUAUGGAGGAGGCCUUCGGGUUGUUAAAUACUUUUAGCGGGGGGAAAGGGAAUAUAGUUGAAACCUUUGCCCAUUGGCGUUACCCUAAGAAGAAAGACCGGCUAACUCCGUG
rnacentral:rRNA from 1 species